GUUUCCUCUCCCAGCCAUCAACUUCGCUAAGACUUAGCUCGAAAUACUCUCUAGCUAUGUCGAGGAAGAUGCUUAUUGAUGGGGAACCGAGCCAUCAGGCUGAAGCGGAGGAACACUACGACUUUGAUUUAUUCGUUAUUGGAGCAGGAAGUGGUGGUGUUCGUGCUAGUAGAUUUUCAGCUAGUCAUGGAGCGAAGGUUGGCAUCUGUGAACUUCCAU
rnacentral:misc_RNA from 1 species